rnacentral:rRNA from 1 species
UGAACGCUGGCGGCAUGCCUUACACAUGCAAGUCGAACGGUAACGCGGGGCAACCUGGCGACGAGUGGCGAACGGGUGAGUAAAGCAUCGGAACGUGCCCAGUAGUGGGGGAUAGCCCGGCGAAAGCCGGAUUAAUACCGCAUACGACCUACGGGUGAAAGGGGGGGAUCGCAAGACCUCUCGCUAUUGGAGCGGCCGAUGUCAGAUUAGGUAGUUGGUGGGGUAAAGGCCUACCAAGCCUGCGAUCUGUAGCUGGUCUGAGAGGACGACCAGCCACACUGGGACUGAGACACGGCCCAGACUCCUACGGGAGGCAGCAGUGGGGAAUUUUGGACAAUGGGGGAAACCCUGAUCCAGCCAUGCCGCGUGCGGGAAGAAGGCCUUCGGUUGUAACCGCUUUGUCAGGAGAAACGCCUCGAGCUAAUACCACGAGGUAAUGACGGUACCUGAAGAAUAAGCACCGGCUAACUACGUGCCAGCAG